rnacentral:rRNA from 1 species
GGGGAAUCUUCCGCAAUGGACGAAAGUCCGACGGAGCAACGCCGCGUGAGUGAUGACGGCCUUCGGGUUGUAAAGCUCUGUGAUCGGGGACGAAUGGCUGGUGCGUUAAUACCGCAUCAGAGUGACGGUACCCGAAUAGCAAGCCACGGCUAACUACGUGCCAGCAGCCGCGGUAAUACGUAGGUGGCAAGCGUUGUCCGGAAUUAUUGGGCGUAAAGGGCGCGCAGGCGGCGUCGUAAGUCGGUCUUAAAAGUGCGGGGCUUAACCCCGUGAGGGGACCGAAACUGCGAUGCUAGAGUAUCGGAGAGGAAAGUGGAAUUCCUAGUGUAGCGGUGAAAUGCGUAGAGAUUAGGAAGAACACCGGUGGCGAAGGCGACUUUCUGGACGACAACUGACGCUGAGGCGCGAAAGCGUGGGGAGCAAACA